rnacentral:rRNA from 1 species
CUCAGAUUGAACGCUGGCGGCAGGCCUAACACAUGCAAGUCGAACGGUAACAUUUCUAGCUUGCUAGAAGAUGACGACUGGCGGACGGGUGAGUAAUGCUUGGGAACUUGCCUUUGCGAGGGGGAUAACAGUUGGAAACGACUGCUAAUACCGCAUAAUGUCUUCGGACCAAACGGGGCUUCGGCUCCGGCGCAAAGAGAGGCCCAAGUGAGAUUAGCUAGUUGGUAAGGUAACGGCUUACCAAGGCGACGAUCUCUAGCUGUUCUGAGAGGAAGAUCAGCCACACUGGGACUGAGACACGG